UACGAAGGCAGCAGUAGGGAAUCUUCCGCAAUGGACGAAAGUCUGACGGAGCAACGCCGCGUGAACGAUGAAGGCUUUCGGGUCGUAAAGUUCUGUUGUUAGGGAGAACAAGUACCAGAGUAACUGCUGGUACCUUGACGGUACCUAACCAGAAAGCCACGGCUAACUACGUGCCAGCAGCCGCGGUAAUACGUAGGUGGCAAGCGUUGUCCGGAAUUAUUGGGCGUAAAGCGCGCGCAGGUGGUUCUUUAAGUCUGAUGUGAAAGCCCACGGCUUAACCGUGAGGGUCAUUGGAAACUGGGGAACUUGAGUGCAGAAGAGGAAAGUGGAAUUCCACGUGUAGCGGUGAAAUGCGUAGAGAUGUGGAGGAACACCAGUGGCGAAGGCGACUUUUCUGGUCUGUAACUGACACUGAGGCGCGAAAGCGUAGGGAGCGAACAGGGAUUAGAUACC
rnacentral:rRNA from 1 species